rnacentral:rRNA from 1 species
GACGAACGCUGGCGGCGUGCUUAACACAUGCAAGUCGAACGGUGAAGCUCCAGCUUGCUGGAGUGGAUCAGUGGCGAACGGGUGAGUAACACGUGAGCAACCUGCCCCUGACUCUGGAAUAAGCGCUGGAAACGGCGUCUAAUACUGGAUACGAGAAGGGUCCGCAUGGGCACUUUCUGGAAAGUUUUUCGGUUGGGGAUGGGCUCGCGGCCUAUCAGCUUGUUGGUGAGGUAAUGGCUCACCAAGGCGACGACGGGUAGCCGGCCUGAGAGGGCGACCGGCCACACUGGGACUGAGACACGGCCCAGACUCCUACGGGAGGCAGCAGUGGGGAAUAUUGCACAAUGGGCGAAAGCCUGAUGCAGCGACGCCGCGUGAGGGAUGACGGCCUUCGGGUUGUAAACCUCUUUCAGCAGGGAAGAAGCGAAAGUGACGGUACCUGCAGAAGAAGCACUGGCUAACUACGUG